rnacentral:rRNA from 1 species
AGAGUUUGAUCCUGGCUCAGGACGAACGCUGGCGGCACGCUUAACACAUGCAAGUCGAACGAGAGAAGAGGAGCUUGCUUUUCUGAUCUAGUGGCGGACGGGUGAGUAACACGUGAGCAAUCUGCCUUUCAGAGGGGGAUACCGAUUGGAAACGAUCGUUAAUACCGCAUAAUAUAAUUGAACCGCAUGAUUUGAUUAUCAAAGAUUUAUCGCUGAAAGAUGAGCUCGCGUCUGAUUAGCUAGUUGGUAAGGUAACGGCUUACCAAGGCGACGAUCGGUAGCCGGACUGAGAGGUUGAUCGGCCACAUUGGGACUGAGACACGGCCCAGACUCCUACGGGAGGCAGCAGUGGGGAAUAUUGCACAAUGGAGGAAACUCUGAUGCAGCGAUGCCGCGUGAGGGAAGAAGGUUUUAGGAUUGUAAACCUCUGUCUUCAGGGACGAAAAAAAGACGGUACCUGAGGAGGAAGCUCCGGCUAACUACGUGCCAGCAGCCGCGGUAAUACGUAGGGAGCGAGCGUUGUCCGGAAUUACCGAGUGUAAAGGGAGCGUAGGCGGGAUCGCAAGUCAGAUGUGAAAACUAUGGGCUUAACCCAUAAACUGCAUUUGAAACUGUGGUUCUUGAGUGAAGUAGAGGUAAGCGGAAUUCCUAGUGUAGCGGUGAAAUGCGUAGAUAUUAGGAGGAACAUCAGUGGCGAAGGCGGCUUACUGGGCUUUAACUGACGCUGAGGCUCGAGAGCGUGGGGAGCAAACAGGAUUAGAUACCCUGGUAGU